rnacentral:rRNA from 1 species
UACGGAGGGUGCGAGCGUUAUCCGGAAUUACUGGGUUUAAAGGGUGCGUAGGCGGCUAUGUAAGUCUGGAGUGAAAGUUUGCGGCUCAACCGUAAAAUUGCUUUUGAUACUGCAUGGCUAGAAUCAGGAUGAGGUUAGCGGAAUGUGGCAUGUAGCGGUGAAAUGCAUAGAUAUGCCAUAGAACACCAAUUGCGAAGGCAGCUGGCUAGACCUGCAUUGACGCUGAGGCACGAAAGCGUGGGGAGCGAACAGG